rnacentral:rRNA from 1 species
AGAACGAACGCUGGCGGCAUGCCUAAUACAUGCAAGUCGAACGAACACUUCGGUGUUAGUGGCGCACGGGUGCGUAACGCGUGGGAAUCUGCCCUUGGGUUCGGAAUAACAGUUGGAAACGACUGCUAAUACCGGAUGAUAUCGAAAGAUCAAAGAUUUAUCGCCCAGGGAUGAGCCCGCGUAGGAUUAGCUAGUUGGUGAGGUAAAGGCUCACCAAGGCGACGAUCCUUAGCUGGUCUGAGAGGAUGAUCAGCCACACUGGGGACUG